UACUUUCAAAGGAUAAAAGACAUCCACUAAUUUUAGGCAUUAAACACUCUUGGUGCAACUCCAAGUGAAAGUA
rnacentral:tRNA from 1 species